GUGAGGAAUAUUGCGCAAUGGACGAAAGUCUGACGCAGCCAUGCCGCGUGAAGGAUUGACGGCCCUAUGGGUUGUAAACUUCUUUUGUAUAGGAAUAAACCCUCGUUCGUGAACGAGGCUGAAGGUACUAUAAGAAUAAGCACCGGCUAACUCCGUGCCAGCAGCCGCGGUAAUACGGAGGGUGCAAGCGUUAUCCGGAUUUAUUGGGUUUAAAGGGUCCGUAGGCGGAUCGUUAAGUCAGUGGUGAAAUCCUACCGCUCAACGGUAGAACUGCCAUUGAUACUGGCGAUCUUGAGUAUGUAUGAAGUUGGUGGAAUGUGUGGUGUAGCGGUGAAAUGCUUAGAUAUCACACAGAACACCGAUUGCGAAGGCAGCUGACUAAUACACAACUGACGCUGAGGGACGAAAGUGUGGGGAUCAAACAGGAUUAGAUACCCGUGUAGUCC
rnacentral:rRNA from 1 species